GACAGAGGGGGCGAGCGUUGUCCGGAGUCACUGGGCGUAAAGCGCGCGCAGGCGGUCGCCAAAGUGUCGUGUGAAAGCCCCCGGCUCAACCGGGGGAGGCCAUGGCAAACUCGGCGACUGGAGCGGCGGAGAGGCCCCUCGAAUUGCCGGUGUAGCGGUGAAAUGCGUAGAGAUCGGCAGGAAGACCAAGGGGGAAGCCAGGGGCUGGCCGCUGGUUGACGCUGAGGCGCGAAAGCGUGGGGAGCGAACCGG
rnacentral:rRNA from 1 species